rnacentral:rRNA from 1 species
UACGUAGGGCGCAAGCGUUGUCCGGAAUUAUUGGGCGUAAAGCGCGCGUAGGCGGCUACUUAAGUCGGAUGUGAAAGCCCUUGGCUCAACUGAGGAAGUGCACCCGAAACUGAGUGGCUUGAGUACUAAAGAGGGUCGCGGAAUUCCCGGUGUAGAGGUGAAAUUCGUAGAUAUCGGGAGGAACACCGGUGGCGAAGGCGGCGACCUGGGUAGAUACUGACGCUGAGGCGCGAAAGCGUGGGGAGCAAACAGG